UUUCAGCUCAACAGACAAUAUACACUAAAGAACAUGAUCAUAUAUGCAACAAAAGCUGCCAUCUUUACUGAAAAUAUGCAAAACAAAAACAUGAUUUAUAAAAAAAAGAUUGAAGAAGCUUUUUUUACUCAAAGCCUAUGAUUCUCUUUAGACCAGGAAACAACCCAGAAAACGAAGACAUCGCCGAAGAAGAAGGUUCGAUUGUUUUGUCAGCAACCAAACACUCUUCUUCAACCAUUUCCUUAACAGAUCUAACAGACAAAGGCUGGAAAUCAACACCCCACUCAUCCACAAACUCUCUAACCAAAACCACUUUCUCUUCUUCUCCAAUCUUCCUCCAUUUAACCCUCAUCUCUUCUUCUUUCAAACCCACAUGCUUACAGAACUCUCCCCACCGCUCUUCUUCAUCGCUUCUCUUCUCUGUUCCGACACCGUGUUCGCCUUCCCGAUCUCUCUCGCCAGAUCCUUCGCCAGCUCCGAAUCGCUCAUUGUUUUCUUCUUCUUAUUCUUGGCCUUCCUCGUCCUCCUGUUGCUGAUGAUGCCAUCGUCUUCAUCCUCUCUCCUGAUGCACUGAAUCCGGGUUACGGGUCGGGUUAAUAGACAGCGAAACUCGAGAUUCCGGUUAAAGGAAGUGUUUUGAGGAAGGAGAUGAAGUAACCUCAGCGACAUCUUUCUGCUCUUCUCUCUCUCUCUCUCUCUUCUGACCUUUAUGGCUUUAUCCUAUAAAGGUUAAUCCUUUAAGCCGUUUAUGACAUCCACGUGGACUAGUACUUACUGUCUUAAGCCAAAGGUGGAACCCUUUAGGAUACUUGGGAGCUUAGUUACCGUUCCACAGCACAAACAAGCCCCAAGUAACUGACACAUGAAGUCAGAAAAACAAAUUUAAAACUCUAUAAUAUAGAACCAUCACAGAUUCACAGUACAGGUUAAAUGUUUGUGUUUUGUGAAGGUGGUGUGUAUCUUGGAAAAAGAACAAAGAAACCCUACAAAAUUCAUCAUUUUUACAGUAAAAACUAAAAAGUGAAUCCUUUUAGAUAUAUUUCGACUUUCCAUGCCCAAGCAAGUCUCUCAGUCUUUACUCUGUUUUUAGGUUACCGAGAAUGAGUUCAGCUAAGAUAUCGACCCAUGUGUCUGGAACACCAGGUAGGCACCAGUGCAUACAGUCUUGUCCCCAUAUCGCCACCGCGUCCUGUUUCCCUAACCAGAUAGCAGGAUGAGCAUCAGCUCUGUAUUCGCUUAGAUGGGUCAGAUCAAGUAGCUUGAUCUCUGUGUUUUGCAGCUCGCUCUUGAUAAUUUGAUUAAUCCUUCUUGCUUCUUUGUUCACUCCAUUGUUCCUGGGAUCAAACCACAAGUCAAGCUGUCUAGGUCUUAGCAUCACAGAGAAUCCAGAUAAUAAGCAAGAUUGAAAUAAACAGAACUUCCUCAAUAAAACAAGUUAGCGUAGUACCUGGUCUUUGUCGAGUGGUUUAUCGAGCAAACAACUACCGUUCUGGUUCCAAUCACCGCCAUAGAAAUGCCUCGGUGAUUGCAAGCGCCAGAACUUAAGGGUCUUCGCCGGGACUUGUCGUUGGAUAUACGAAACCAUUUGUUGAACAACAACUUCAAACCCUUGCAAUAUAUCAAGAGGAGGAUGUAUCGGCUUUCCCUUUCGGUAGAAGACAAGAGGUGUCUCUUUAGGAAACUUAUCGUAACCCCACCUAACAACCAACCAAAUACACUUUGAAUGCUUAAUGCUUAUUCUUCACAAAGUUGUAAGAAACAAAAUCCAAUAGGUUAAGGUCCUUGAGGAUAUUAUAUGUUUACCAAUGGCCAGAGUUAAAUACGAGAACAUCGUAGAAGCUAGUGACAUUGAUCAUCCACUCACCAGCAGGAACAUCAACAUCAACUCGAUAAGCUCCUUUAACCCCGUCUUCAUUAGCUUCUCGGCUGCGACCUUUAUCAUAUCAGUUUAGAGCAACAAUUCAACACAUACAAAUACACAUUCUCAUUAUACAUUAAACUUUAAUGGCAUUCAAAGACACCUAACAAGCUUAUAACUUGGGACAAGACUAGAACUUGGUCCUUUGAAGAGCCUGUUUCAAAGCAUAAAGGCACAAACUUUAGUGAAGAGUGGGAGAUCUUUACUUGUAUUUAGCGAGAAGAACGGAUCUGUGAUAAGCCACAGUGACGUUGAACUUAGGGAAGUAAGCACCACGCCAAGCUUUCUUCUUUUUCCACUUGACAGCACUCGGAUCAGCCACUCUAAGUAUACACAGCAACGAAACCACGAAAUUCUCGUUCAGAGAGUCCCCAACGAACCCGAUGUUCUUGUUCCUCAUCCUCCCAAGAAACCGGGUCGGGUCAAUCCGACUCAGCCCGCACCCAUCGGGGACCCAUCUCCACGAAUUGAUGACACCCAUGUUUUCUCGCCUGUUCUUUAAGCAGUUCCAAGCGUUUCGGUGGAACGGGCACGUCUCGUCGUACAGGGGCUUCGGGGUUUCUGGAGUGUAGACCCAUCGGCCGGAGAAGAGAUCGCACGGCGGAGGAGAGAGGAUGUUUGGAGUGGUGGGACGGCGGAGAAGGGUGGUGGAAUAGAAGAGGAGAAGGAGGAGAGAAAUGAGUAAGAGACGUGAGGAUCGGAGCUUGGACGGCAUCGUCGUGAAUAUACACUAAAGAACAUGAUCAUAUAUGCAACAAAAGCUGCCAUCUUUACUGAAAAUAUGCAAAACAAAAACAUGAUUUAUAAAAAAAAGAUUGAAGAAGCUUUUUUUACUCAAAGCCUAUGAUUCUCUUUAGACCAGGAAACAACCCAGAAAACGAAGACAUCGCCGAAGAAGAAGGUUCGAUUGUUUUGUCAGCAACCAAACACUCUUCUUCAACCAUUUCCUUAACAGAUCUAACAGACAAAGGCUGGAAAUCAACACCCCACUCAUCCACAAACUCUCUAACCAAAACCACUUUCUCUUCUUCUCCAAUCUUCCUCCAUUUAACCCUCAUC
rnacentral:lncRNA from 1 species